AACACCCCUUGGAGCUAAGAUCGAAGUGUAGUGUCUGUUCUUAUCAGUUUAAUAUCUGAUAUGUCCUUUAUUUGAGGACUGUAUAUUAACUUGAUUUUUGAUUUUUUUUUUUUUAAUUUUAAAUAGGAGCUUGCUCUGUCCACCCCAUGCAUUGACCUGGUAUUGCAGUGUCUCCAGGAACGGUAAAAUCUCG